AUGCUGCACGAGGCGGCGCCAUGCACGUGCGGGCUGCUCUACGGCAGCUGCGGCGGCGGCUGCUCCAUGCUGUUCGCCGCGGCGCCGGGGGACCACCACUACUACAGCAAGCAAUGCGGCGACGACGGCUCCUACGCCUCCUACGGCGGCUCCGUCGACUGCACGCUCUCGCUCGGCACGCCCUCCACCAGGCGCGCCGAGGCCGGGCUGCCGUGGGAGGCGGUGCCCAGCUGCAACGGCAGGCAGGAUAUCGGCCCGGCGCGCGCGGAUCAGAGCAAUGCCGGCGCCGCCUCCGCUCGCCGGUGCGCCAACUGCGACACCACCUCCACCCCGCUCUGGAGGAACGGGCCUCGCGGACCAAAGUCAUUGUGCAAUGCGUGCGGAAUCCGGUACAAGAAGGAGGAGAGGCGCGCGGCGGCCGCCGCGGUGGCGCCGACGGCGUUGGCAUCGGACAGCGGGAUCGAGUACGCGUACGGGUACGCGCGGCAGCAGCAGCAGCAGCAGCAGCAGUGGGGGUGCUACGGCCCGGCCGUGGCGAAGGCGGCGUCCUACGGGAUGUUCGGCGACGCGGCGACGGAGGACGGGCCGUGCCUGCCAUGGGGGCUCGGCGUCAUGCCCUCGUCGCCAGCUUUCGGGUCCGUCCGGGAGAUGACAAGCCUGUUCCAGUACUACUAG
rnacentral:rRNA from 1 species